CAAAUUUAAAAGAUAAAUAAUUUAUUUACAAUAAAUUUAUAUAUUGUGCAAUUCAAUAAAAUUUGA
rnacentral:tRNA from 1 species